GAUGAACGCUGGCGGCGUGCUUAACACAUGCAAGUCGAACGAGAAGUGGAGACGGAAACCUUCGGGCGGAAGACUUUAUUUCGAGUGGCGGACGGGUGAGUAACGCGUGGGUAACCUGCCUCAUACAGGGGGAUAACAGUUGGAAACGACUGUUAAUACCGCAUAAGAACACAGCACCGCAUGGUGCGGGGGUAAAAACUCCGGUGGGAUGAGAUGGACCCGCGUUCGAUUAGCCAGUUGGCGGGGUAACGGCCCACCAAAGCGACGAUCGAUAGCCGAUCUGAGAGGAUGACCAGCCACAUUGGGGCUGAGACACGGCCCAAACUCCUGCGGGAGGCAGCAGUGGGGAAUAUUGCACAAUGGGGGAAACCCUGAUGCAGCGACGCCGCGUGAGUGAAGAAGUAUUUCGGUAUGUAAAGCUCUAUCAGCAGCGAUGAAAAUGACAGUACCUAAGUAAGAAGCCCCGGCUAACUACGUG
rnacentral:rRNA from 1 species